rnacentral:rRNA from 1 species
AGCGAACGCUGGCGGCAGGCCUAACACACGCAAGUCGAACGGAUCCUUCGGGAUUAGUGGCGGACGGGUGAGUAACACGUGGGAACGUGCCCUUUGGUUCGGAACAACUCAGGGAAACUUGAGCUAAUACCGGAUGUGCCCUUCGGGGGAAAGAUUUAUCGCCAUUGGAGCGGCCCGCGUCUGAUUAGCUAGUUGGUGGGGUAAAGGCCCACCAAGGCGACGAUCAGUAGCUGGUCUGAGAGGAUGAUCAGCCACAUUGGGACUGAGACACGGCCCAAACUCCUACGGGAGGCAGCAGUGGGGAAUCUUGCGCAAUGGGCGAAAGCCUGACGCAGCCAUGCCGCGUGAAUGAUGAAGGUCUUAGGAUUGUAAAAUUCUUUCACCGGGGACGAUAAUGACGGUACCCGGAGAAGAAGCCCCGGCUAACUUCGUGCCAGCAGCCGCGGUAACAC